UGUUCUGUAUUUGUGCGAUGCGGUUCGCAA
rnacentral:sRNA from 1 species